UAUUUUAAUAGCUUAUUUAGAGCAUAAUAUUGAAGAUAUUAAGGAGAUAUAUUUAUCUUAAAAUAU
rnacentral:tRNA from 1 species